rnacentral:rRNA from 1 species
GUACACUCCUACGGGAGGCAGCAGUGGGGAAUUUUGGACAAUGGGCGAAAGCCUGAUCCAGCCAUGCCGCGUGCAGGAUGAAGGCCUUCGGGUUGUAAACUGCUUUUGUACGGAACGAAACGGCCUUUUCUAAUAAAGAGGGCUAAUGACGGUACCGUAAGAAUAAGCACCGGCUAACUACGUGCCAGCAGCCGCGGUAAUACGUAGGGUGCAAGCGUUAAUCGGAAUUACUGGGCGUAAAGCGUGCGCAGGCGGUUAUGUAAGACAGUUGUGAAAUCCCCGGGCUCAACCUGGGAACUGCAUCUGUGACUGCAUAGCUAGAGUACGGUAGAGGGGGAUGGAAUUCCGCGUGUAGCAGUGAAAUGCGUAGAUAUGCGGAGGAACACCGAUGGCGAAGGCAAUCCCCUGGACCUGUACUGACGCUCAUGCACGAAAGCGUGGGGAGCAAACAGGAUUAGAUACCCCAGUAGUCCCAU